rnacentral:lncRNA from 1 species
UUUUUUUUUUCACUCACUAAUCGCCACUUAAGACACCGAGUUCUUGUUGCCAGGACAACGCGGCUCGCCAUUGGCCCGCCGCCCUCCCACGUGACGCGCAGCCUUGACGUCACGGCGGGCGAGAGGCUCGCUGGCCGCGCCGAGCGCAGUGUGUUGCAGCUGCCCGGGCGAAAAAACGCCUGUUGGAGUUUGGACCGCGAGCGAGCCGGCGAACUCCUGCAAACCUGUCGUGCCCCCGCUCCUCUUGUCCGACACGUUUCACAGUUCGCCCCGGCGCCGCGAGCGAAUGGACCACUGCAGAGACCUUUAGUCAACAGGCCCCUCCGCAGCAAAAACUUCACAGCGAGCAACGAGCGAGAGGAGGAAGAGGAAGGGGAGUCCGGAGGCAGGGCAACUCGUUUCAGUAAGCACACAUCGCUCGGUCAGUCAGUCAGUCAGCGGAUGAUUAAAGCAGUGGGGGAGAGGAGGCGGACUCACUGGGCUGCUGCUGGUGCAUCGCCUUGACAAGUGAGUGGAGAUGCUUGUCUUCCUGUGAACGGACGUCUAGUCUUCUUACAGUAACAGUAACAGUAACAGCACAGUGUUCGUGCUUUCCUAGAGUUUUACCAGAAUUUCCCUGCUUGGGAUGAAUAAAGUAUUCGUCCAUCUAUCUAUAUAUCUAUCUAUUUUCAUCCUUCAAGAGCGUAUACAUGUCAAAAGAUGGCUCCUUUCAAACAUUUAGAAACAUUGCACUUUGGGAUGAAAGUUAUAGUACAGUAGUACGAGUCAGGAGCACAUUAGAUCCGCGCUGCGACGAUUGGUCGAUUUGUGGGGGGGGAAGUCAGAAAAUUAAUACACAAUCAUUUAAAAAGAACGUGUCAAACAUUUGUGGGUUUCCAGCUUCUCAGUUUAGAGGAUUUGCUUUUUUUAUACUAAUCAAUAUUUACAUUGUAGGUUAAACUGACCUAUUUUUUUUUCAACAGUGAAUUGUUUAUAGUAUUUCCGAAAAAUUGUAAUCGUUAAUUGCAAUUCCUGUGCAAUUCAAGGCGAGAUCCUCAUCCACAGAACACGAGUAACAGGAUAUAUUUGGUGAAACAUUUGACAUUUUAAACAUGUUUUUUUUAAAAUUGAAAUUGUACUAUGUUGACUAUAUUAGGAAAUCCUACUGUACAUUAAAUGGCUUAAACGUUUCACCAUGUUGGUUUCAGGUUUCCCGCAGACACGCAGCUAAAGUAGGACUGAGGAUUAAAGAGGCUGAAGGAGAGAUUGUGGCCUGUUGAAUUAAGAGACCUGACUUGUUGUCCCUGUGCAAAUUUGCCAUGUUUUUGGCCUGGUGGCUUGUGGGUAAUUGAAUGCCGUUGUUGGUGGGGUUUGAUGUGGGACGUAAACAGGAACAUGUCAUGGUUGAAUUUCCUCUGGCGGUCCCGGUGAAGUGUUCAAGAGGUGAUGAGAGAGAGAGGGCGAUGGUGUAAAAAGACAUGAGUGGACACAGAUGGAGAGAAGUAAACGUUCCAAUUGAAAAGAGAAGCUGAGGCCUAGAUGAAAAAACGCUAAUGCGGGAAGGAGAGGAAAGAAGUCAACUCACACAGAGUUACAUAUACUCUGAAAAAACAUUGUUUUGCUCUCUUAGAAUCUCUGUGGCUUCCAAAUGUUUGAUGUUUUUAGGAAAUUUAUGAAAUUCAACGCGCUGUCCAGCUUCGCCUCUCACCUCAGGCAGCCACAACAGCAUGGCAAGAAAAAUUUAAAGACCCGUGUAGGUGCUGACACGUGGAUGGAGUCGAGAUUAUAGCCCCCGUGGUGUCAAAACCAUGCUGAAUGCUUACAAAUGUUCUCUAAAUUUGAACAGAUGAUCUAUUUUUGACGGCGUGGGUGUCUUUGUGGGCUCCCUCUCUGCCAGACUUGACCACGCUGGCAGCAUCGUCUGUACUUAGGCUCGUCUGGGCUGCAGUCGAUGCUCUUUCGAAUUGAAAUAGACUCCUCUGAGAGGGAGCAGCCAGGGACGAAAGUGAUUUGGAGGAAACAAGAACGAUAGGAAGAUUCACGUAAAAGGAAGAAAAGAGCGAGAGGGAGCUUCAAAGACUGAGACAGAAGAAAAAAACAAAACAGAUUCUGGCCUGUCACACAGAUAAUAUUUUGGAGAGAGAGAGAGACAGACACAUUUCUGGCGUGCUGUGCAGCAGAUAUCUCUGGUUGAGAGGGUGGGAGUUGUUCAGUCAUGGGGCAGAUUGACAUUUCCAUCUCUGCAGCAUUUGUCUUUACAACGGGCUGCUUGAGAGAAAGGCACAUUUAGAUAUUCGGUGUAAAGCAAACAGCUCUCUGCCUGUGCAAUCAGUGACAAUUUGCUGCGAGUGUGUGUGUGUGUGUGUGUUUGUCCAAUCCUGAGUGUGUCUCGCACUGCCUUCUUGUAGUUGAUGUCAGUGAGACUUUUAUUUUUUUAUUUUUUGGGACACUUUUUUUAUUAUCUUGUUCUCAUUCGCCGCCUCAUCAUGCCCUCUUUCAUGUUUGUGGUUUCCUGCAGUGCCUCGACACACAACCUUCUCCGGCUGACAAUGCAGCUCAUGUGUGCUGCAUUAUGAUUAAGUUGCUGUCUCAGUUCUUUCAAAGACCUGAUUGGAUUUUUAGUAACAUUGAAAGAAAGCAAGAACAAAUUUAAGACAGUAUCAAUAAUAAUAGCAUUAUUUAAAAAAAUAUAUAUAUUUGAGUCCACAAUUUUUGCAGCAAAACUGUAAAAGAGUGACAUGGCUUUUGGCCUCAGUUUGAUGGAUUUGGGCUGUGACUAAUAAUUAUUUUAUUUAUGACUUUAACCUCCUAACUAUUUCUCUUGAAUAAUCCUUUUGUCAACUUUAAUAUAAUUCCUUUAUAUUAUCACGUAAAGCCUCAAGUUUAAGAUUCUACAACCAAAUAAAGUUUGACAUUGUUGUAUUAAAGGGUUUUGAUUGUUUUCUUAUGUCAAAUCCAACAUGCUAACGGUAACUUAGCCGAGAACGGUGGUGGUGGUGAGGCUGCUCUCAGGGCGCAGAGAGAGAGGUAGGCUGAUGAUUCACAUUUGCUCCUCAUUUGAGAUUCAACAUAAUUAAUGUUGUCCUUCACGGAAAGCAGAGUUCCUGAAUUAUGUGUGAAUACAUUUCGCUGUUAAGGUGUUACUGAUCCUGCCGUAGCCUUCCACCCAAAACCGGAUCCCAGGCCGUCUUCUCCUUUGUCGUGCGAGUGGAAGAUCUUCCUCAUUCUCUCUGAAGAAUGAGCUUGGGCGAACCAAUUAAAACUUUCCAUCGAUCAAGUGGCGAGACUGUCACAAAUUUGCAUCGCUGCCAGGACGAAUAGUUUUGAUGCAAAAUAUUCACAGGCGAGUGUUUUGCAUUCUCCUGUCAUUUUUAGAGACAUAAAAAUAAAUAAUACUCAAACUGGACUGAUUAUCCAAAUAGUUUCCAAUUUUUUGCAGAUCGACUUAUCAAUUAGUCACAGAAAUAUUUUAGCUCUAAACGGGAUGAUGAUUGUGUCACAAGGUCGUCUGCAUCAGACAAACCCACAGUCUAUGGUGUUUUAGUGUUUAAGACGAGGCAGAGACUUAUAAGUGUCUUUGAUGUUAAGAGAUCGAAUUUGGUUUGUUGGAGGUAAUGUUAACUCUUUUCAUUUAUUCAAUUGGACUUAUAUAUAAGAGCAACGUUGCCCUUUUUGUUUUACAAUCAUUGCCUUUUUCUUGCUUUGAGAAGCCUGGACCAGGGUGGACCAUGCUCUGACCCUCACACUAAAUAAAACAGCAGAUAGAGUUGCAGUCAGAUAUUCAAGGCGCCGCCAAAGCACGCCGCGCUGAACAGCACGCCGCGCUGAGCAGCACCGAUCAUGAUACUUGUAACGCGAGAGCGGCUGCUCCUAGCUAUGCCAUGCUGUGGCAGCGGUCACAUGUUUUGCCGAGAAAGACACGCGAUCACAAAAGGGCUGUAGCCAGAAGACGGACAGGAGCAUGUGGUGUGACUAGACGAUGAUGAAAUCUGCGGGUCAUUAGUUCUCGGAAAUCGGAGCCAAAAUGGCACAGAUGGAAAGUUUCUCUUUGCAGAGACAUUGCCAAAACUCAGACACUUUAAAGAAAUGUAACAAUUUAUUUUGUCUUUGUGUUAGCACUGUCACAUUUGAACAGAUUUGAAUGUUGUACACAUUGUGUGAGCUUUGUAUGUUCAGCUGCCAACUUAACUAGGUGGUAAUUUCAAGUGGUUGAAGACUUUAACGCUCUGAUUACACAAUACAGUAGUUUCUGUUUUCAGUUGAGAGUCUUCAAUAUCCGGUAGGAUCUCACUCUUGUUGGAGAAAGUUUGCUACCCCAACAGUUUUUUUUUCUUUCUACUGGCUCUGGACUCCAGUGCACUUGAAUGACACCGGUGCUGAUCUUUUGAAUUAAAGGUUAAAGGUUCCCUUCGUGGGCUGACGAGGCGGCAACUGCUGUGGUGUGAUGAAACACUUUCACGCAACCAAGUGUCAGUCCAGUUUUUCAUCUACAACAAAAUAAAGUUAGACAGUGAGAACAGACUUGGUAAAAGACAUGAAACGAGUUCAUGGCAGCAUCGCUGGCCAUUCCGCUGCUUGAAUGUGGUCCAGUGUUUUCCUCUCUUUUUGGAACUUGAGUGGCCCCAUUCCUCUGACGCGCAAGAUGUGGUCAAAACCUAAAAUAGAUCUAUUCAAAAUAAACCAUUCAUUACUCACAUUAUUGUCUAACAGCGGAAACCCAUAAUUCUCUGCACAUUCUUGUUGAAAAGAUGUUUUACAGCAAAAUUCUUGUCAGGAUUUAAUGAUUUUACGGCAUCUGAUGUGAUUGUUGUGUGUAAAUUUCCAUCUAGCAGAAUGAAAAUGUCCACAACUACUGUAAAGUAAUAGAACUCUCAAAGUUUUGACUUUAUAUAAAUAAUAAUUUGAACCAACUUUAUUGGCAUUGGCAGUUUGCAUAUAAGGUGAGUUUGUACAUAUGUUAUGGCUUAAUGGUGAGCUCAGAUUUAGUAUUAGAUAAUGAAGCGAUCCAAGAACAACUAGUAAAACAUUUUUUUUGCAUAGCAA